rnacentral:rRNA from 1 species
UACGUAGGGUGCAAGCGUUAAUCGGAAUUACUGGGCGUAAAGCGCACGUAGGCGGCUUUGUAAGUUAGAGGUGAAAGCCCGGAGCUCAACUCCGGAACUGCCUUUAAGACUGCAUCGCUUGAAUCCAGGAGAGGUGAGUGGAAUUCCGAGUGUAGAGGUGAAAUUCGUAGAUAUUCGGAAGAACACCAGUGGCGAAGGCGGCUCACUGGACUGGUAUUGACGCUGAGGUGCGAAAGCGUGGGGAGCAAACAGG